rnacentral:lncRNA from 1 species
UAGGAGCUCAUAUUUUUCCAUUUGGAUAUCCUAGGCAUACGCAUUUUGAUCCUCUCUCCAUGUUCUGUUCAAGAGAUCUCGUCAAUAUGUGCCUCACUCGGUGUAUUUCAUCUUCUUUAAUUGAAGGAUCGUUCAUUGUGUAGAUGUCCCUUCCCAUCAAGUGUGCCCACCAGAAAUCCGCCCCGGGACGGAUUCUUACGUCAUUGGAUUUAAAAUAUCAAUUAUAGUAUAGUUCUAAUUCCAGUUCUAUCUCCUUAGUCAAACGACCAAGAAAUUUAUCCUUUGAUGAGGUUUCUACCUCUUUUAUUCUAACUGAUGUUGAACCAAUAUGAAUUCGGUCGACUUUGCCAAGAGCAACUAGUCUUACUCUAUUUAUGCAAUCAACACUAAUUAGAUAGUCGUUGGAUACUCUGAAGGCCCUGAAGCGUGAGAAAAAGUAUUCACGGCAAAAAAAAAAACUCAAGUCGAAAAUGUCGCAAGGCAAAAACUUCCACGGCAAAAACGCCUCAAGACGAAAGCGUCCUAAGGUAAAAAUGUUCAAGGCGAAUCCUCCUGACACACCAAAAACAAAAAUUCAAAUAAAUUAAAUAUUUAUGGAUAUAUUACAUUUUUAAAUUGGUAUAAAUAGCCAAGUAAAAAAAUCUACACUUAGGUCUUUAUGAACUAUUAGAGUAGAUUUGCCAAGCGUUGCCCAGGACAUUACUAAAUAACAAUCUUCUGCUUAAUAUAAAACAAACAAUAAAAACCGUAAAUUUUUAAGAAUGAUUUUCGUGAACUAUAACAUAGGCGCCAUAAGUAGGGAUCUACCAAUCCCUUGUUUUUGUGUUCAUUUCGGUGAAUAAGUAUGAGCUUCUUCCCAUCGUAAUGAAUUCAUAUCCCUUUCAUUACGAAAUACCAAUAACUUAAGCCAAUUUUUAUUACUUCGGGUAUUCUGUUUAUUCGACUUGUGAUGUCUGCAAAUGAUCACUUCAGCCAAAUCCAAGCCUCUCCAUCUAACUUGGACAAUAACAAUGGUUCUUCUGUAACAAUUGGUUAAUAUUAAUAUUUUUCCCGUUCAUUCGUUCAAAAAAUGAGGUGAAAACGUGAGCGCAUGUCGUUUUUCCGUUCAAUGUACAAGCCUGCACCUUGCUAGGAUUGAAGAAUAUAAUAACUAAGGAAAUAAUGAAUGGCUAGAACAUAUAGUAAUUAAGGCUGUCAAAAAGUAUUGAUAUAAUAAUAUAUUGCAAUACUUAUCAAUACAUAUACUAGUUAUUGAUAUUGUUUGAGAAUAUCGAUACAGAUUAAGACCGGUUAUUUCAAGGAGUUAGUGAAAAAAGUGACCACAUAGACAUUUUGAUGUGACGUCAUUAUUUAUGGGCCAACUAACUCUGAUGAUGCUAAUUACUAAUUAGUAAUAUUAAUAUAACAAUAAAUGAAAAUAAACUCCGA